GGAGGGCAAUUGAUGAACACAACUACUGUUAAUGGGUAAUUUGCGUCUGAACUAUUUCAUUAAUGGUAUCAUCUUGGUUGGGACUGAUUUUGUAU
rfam:Citrus clementina cultivar Clemenules unplaced genomic scaffold scaffold_4, whole genome shotgun sequence.